ACGCACGCUGGCGGCGUGCUUAACCCCUGCCAGUCGAACGGAAAGGCCCUGCUUUUGUGGGGUGCUCGCGUGGCGAACGGGUGAGUAACACGUGAGUAACCUGCCCUUGACUUUGGGAUAACUUCAGGAAACUGGGGCUAAUACCGGAUAGGAGCUCCUGCUGCAUGGUGGGGGUUGGAAAGUUUCGGCGGUUGGGGAUGGACUCGCGGCUUAUCAGCUUGUUGGUGGGGUAGUGGCUUACCAAGGCUUUGACGGGUAGCCGGCCUGAGAGGGUGACCGGCCACAUUGGGACUGAGAUACGGCCCAGACUCCUACGGGAGGCAGCAGUGGGGAAUAUUGCACAAUGGGCGGAAGCCUGAUGCAGCAACGCCGCGUGCGGGAUGACGGCCUUCGGGUUGUAAACCGCUUUCGCCUGUGACGAAGCGUGAGUGACGGUAAUGGGUAAAGAAGCACCGGCUAACUACGUG
rnacentral:rRNA from 1 species